AAAGUGCAGGAUGUGCCUUCGAGUUUUGUCCAUUAUUUAGAGGCAUAGGGUUUUUAAUGGUAUUGAUUUCGUUUGACAUACUGUGGUACUAUGUAUCGAUCAUGGGAUGGGUCCAAUAUUAUUUUGUCCAAUCAUUUCACUCACAAUUACCAUGGUCAACAUGUGACAACUGGUGGAAUACUGAAAAAUGCAGAGAGAAUAUGUUCAGCUCGUCAAUGACUAACAAUUCAACUGUCUUACUUGGAAAUACCACAAAUGUCACUUUAAAUACCGACACAUCAGUAAAUAACAAAACAGUGUUCUUGUCUCCUGCCAGCGAAUUCUGGUUGUA